GAGUCGGCGCGCGGCGGGGACGCGAGUCCGUAGUUUCUCUCCUGUCACAAUGGCAUGAUCUCGGCUCACUGCGACCUCUGCUUCCUGGGUUCAAGGAUUCUCCUGCCUCAGCCUCCCAAGUAGCUGGGAUUACAGGUUACAUUAGUUAUACACUCUGGAGGUGACUUGACCUGUCAUUGUGAACAAUUAUUGCUCUUGGACGACCCAGGACAUAGGCCAGCCAGUACGUACCCCAGUGUGUUGGAGAAUCGCGCUCGGCUUCUUCCUCUGUGCUGAGUCAUGAAAGUUGCCGGAGCAGGUGCAGUUACACAACCUCCAGGUAACAUCACAUGAUCGUUCAAAAAAUAAUCAUCCAAGUCCAGGAUGCAGCAUCUGUCUCAGUUUUUGGCAUAGGAUGACAGUCUGAAAUACACUUACUGAAUUUGAAUAAGAACGGGCUCAGGUCAGUGAUUAUCGCUAGUGCCUUAUCAACGCCCUGUGGCUUUUCAGCAUUAGUCCCCAUAUCCUCGUCCGGUGUGGCACUGAGAGCAGCUAACUGUUGCCCUCGUUGGUUCCCAGUUGGCUUCCGUGACUGGUCAGGGUCAGGUCCACUGCCAACAGGCUGGUGUUGAAUCCCUUGGAGAAACACAGACAUUCUGACCCUAAAUUAUGCUUUCAAUGCCAUGUGUUUUCCUAUCACAAAAAUCCUCGUUCUCAAGUUUCUUCUUUCUUUAUUUUUAUUUCA
rnacentral:lncRNA from 10 species